ensembl:lncRNA
GGCACCCUACAACUCGGCAUAUUUAUGUCUAGGUGAAAUGGAAGGACAUAUGGCAUGAUCCUGAUCAGGUAUUGAUAUGGGGAAGAGGGUGUGUUUGUGGUUUUUUUGCAGGAUGCAGAAGGAGUGUGCUAGCUGCCAGAGUGACUGGCGAAACAUGCUGAUGCUGGGACAAAGAAUGAUGCUGACUGUGAGCUUGCUGAGUGCCCGACAAUGACGACAGGGAAGCUGUAUUGGGCCUAUGUUCCUGACCCACCACUGAUAUAUCCAGCAGUGUGGUCGAGACCAGAGAUUCUCGUACUUGGAUCUCCCUGGAUGGAGAAGCCAACUUAUAUAUUUAACAUGAGUUGUGUUGAUUGUACUCUUUCCAAUUGUGUUAAUGUACUGAAAUCUGGAAUUCCGUUACGGUGCUCUAUCAAUCAGCUUUUGUAUUAUUGCCUCUGGACACAAGCUAUAGUCAUCUGAGAAGAGAGAAAGUGAUUAAGAAAAUGCUCUCGUCAGAUCAGCCUGUAGGCAAGUCUUGGGAGCACUUCUUAUUGAUGGUUGAUGUGGAGAGCCCAGCUUGCUGGAGGUGCUGCCACCCCUGGACAAGUGGACCUGCGUUAUAUAAGAAAGCAAAUAGAGCAAGCCAGGAAGCAACACUUCUCCAUGGCUUCUGCCUCAAUUCCUGCCUUUGGGUUCCUAUCCUUCUUGAGUUCUUCCCUUGGUUUCCUUCAAUGGACCAUGACUCAGGAACCGUCUUUAUCAAGACAACAGACAGCGAACUAGAACCAUUGUGGAUGACUUUGUCCGAUGACUGUGGCUCUAUGGGUCUAUUUCUGGUCCCGUGUCCUACUCCACUGGUCAGUUUAUUCACCUAGUUAUUAAUUGGAGCCUGUUCUUUGGAUGUUUGUGUGCAGUGCCACACUGUUUUGAACUCUAUAGUAUAAUUUUGAAUAUGGCAUCGUACUUUCUACUCAGGGUCUUUUGUGCUUUAUGUGGAUUUUAGAAUUAAUUUUUCCCAUUUCGGGGCUGGAGAGAUGGCUCAGCGGUUAAGAGCACCCAACUGCUCUUUCAGAGGUCAUGAGUUCAAUUCCCAGCAACCACAUGGUGGCUCACAACCAUCUGUAAAGAGAUCCGAUGCCCUCUUCUGGUGUAUCUGAAGACAGCUACAG